AUACGUAGGGUGCGAGCGUUAAUCGGAAUUACUGGGCGUAAAGCGUGCGCAGGCGGUUUUGUAAGACAGUGGUGAAAUCCCCGGGCUCAACCUGGGAACUGCCAUUGUGACUGCAAGGCUGGGGUGCGGCAGAGGGGGAUGGAAUUCCGCGUGUAGCAGUGAAAUGCGUAGAUAUGCGGAGGAACACCGAUGGCGAAGGCAAUCCCCUGGGCCUGCACUGACGCUCAUGCACGAAAGCGUGGGGAGCAAACAGGAUUAGAUACCCUGGUAGUCCACGCCCUAAACGAUGUCAACUGGUUGUUGGGAAUUUAUUUUCUCAGUAACGAAGCUAACGCGUGAAGUUGACCGCCUGGGGAGUACGGCCGCAAGGUUGAAACUUAAAGGAAUUGACGGGG
rnacentral:rRNA from 1 species